rnacentral:rRNA from 1 species
AAGCUCGUAGUUGAAUUUCGGGAUUAGUACGUCGGUCGUGCCUUAGGUACGUACUGGUGUUACUGGUUCCUACCUUCUGACGAACCAUCAUGUCAUUAAUUUGGUGCGGUGGGGAAUCAGGACUGUUACUUUGAAAAAAUUAGAGUGUUUAAAGCAGGCUCGCGCUUGAAUACAUUAGCAUGGAAUAAUGAAAUAGGACGUUGAUCCUAUUUUGUUGGUUUCUAGGAUUGACGUAAUGAUUAAUAGGGAUAGUUGGG